rnacentral:lncRNA from 1 species
AGUGGAUAUCUGUAGAGAUUGGAUACUUGCAUAGAUAAGGAAGAACCUAUUCUCUUCUAGAUCCAGAUUUGAAGAAAAGAUUUACGAAAUAAGUAUGUGAUUCGAUCACAUAUUCAAUUUCAGCAUAUGUUCAAUUUCAGCAUAUGAAGUAGAUCCUAGUGUUUUAUUUUUUAUACAUACAUGAUAUAGAUUAAAAGAUAUUUUAAUCUUUUAUUCUGUUAUGUUG